rnacentral:lncRNA from 1 species
UUGCCUUUACUAGUUUGCCAGAUGGAUCUAAUUAUCUUAAAUGCAUAUUAUCUAAUUUAAUUGCAGUGUUGCCAGACAACCAUCUCUCCACAUGUACUUGCAGCAUCUUGUGACAUUCUUCAGAGAUGGACGUAAAUACAAUGAAGGUGUAUGGAAGAGUGCGUUUACUGUUUCUAAGCUGCAUUUGCAAAGAGCAUCUGAAGCCAUUCUUACCCUCCUUAGAAGAAGGUAGUGGUCAUCUCUCCUGAUUGCUGAGCAUGUCUCAUUCCCUCAGUCAGUCCUCACAGGACAAGUGUUUUGUCUCCACAUGUUCAAGCUGCUCCUUCACACUGAAGGCCUGUCCAUCCC